GUUGAGUUUGUAAAAUGCGUAAAGCUCGGAGGAUCAUCUGGAUGCUCCUGAAGCUCCUCAACACUUCCUGAAGGGCAUGGCGGCAAGCUGGUAUGACAUGGGCAUUGUAAAACUGCCACAGCGUCUACAAAAAUGCAUCGACCGAAAUGGCGAUUAUGUUGAAAAAUAAAGCAUUCUUCAAUCUUUAA